rnacentral:lncRNA from 1 species
CUCCUCUCCUCCCCCUUCCUCUCUUCUCCUCUCCUCUACUCUCUUCUCCUCUCCUCUCCUCUCCUCUCCUCACCUCACCUCUCCUUUCCUCUCCUCUCCUUUCCUCUCCUCUCCUCCCCCUUCCUCUCCUCUCCUCUCCUCUCCUCUCCUCUCCUCUCCUCACCUCUCCUUUCCUCUCCUCUCCUCUCCUCCCCCUUCCUCUCUUCUCCUCUCCUUUCCUUUCCUCUCCUCUCCUCCCCCUUCCUCUCUUCUCCUCUCCUCUCCUCUCCUCACCUCUCCUUUCCUCUCCUCUCCUCUCCUCUCCUCUCCUCUCCCCUUCCUCUCCUCUCCUCUCCUCUCCUCUCUUCUCCUCUCCUCUCCUCUCCUCUCCUCUUCUCUCCUCUCCUUUCCUCUCCUCUCCUUUCCUCUCCUCUCCUCCCCCUUCCUCUCCUCUCCUCUCCUCUCCUCACCUCUCAUUUCCUCUCCUCUCCUCUCCUCUCCUCUCCCCUUCCUCUCCUCUCCUCUCCUCUCCUCUCUUCUCCUCUCCUCUCCUCUCCUCUCCUCUCCUCUCCUCUCCUCUCCUCUUCCUCUCCUCUCCUCUCCUCUCCCCUUCCUCUCCUCUUCUCUCCUCUCCUUUCCUCUCCUCCCCCUUCCUCUCCUCUCCUCUCCUCUCCUCUCCUCACCUCUCCUUUCCUCUCCGCUCCUCCCCCUUCCUCUCCUCUCCUCUCCUCUCUUCUCCUCUCCUCUCCUCUCUUCUCCGCUCCUCUCCUCUCCUUUCCUCUCCUUUUCUCUCCUCUCCUUUCCUCUCCUCUCCUCCCCCUUCCUCUCCUCUCCUCUCCUCUCCUCUUCUCUCCUCUCCUUUCCUCCCCUCUUCUCUCCUCUCCUUUCCUCUCCUCUCCUCCCCCUUCCUCUCCUCUCCUCUCCUCUCCUCUCUUCUCCUCUCCUCUCCUCUCCUCUCCUCUCCUCUCCUCACCUCACCUCACCUCACUUCACCUCACGUUGACCCCAAGGCACUGAGAAGAUGCAGCACACUCCAUG